UACGGAGGGAGCUAGCGUUGUUCGGAAUUACUGGGCGUAAAGCGCACGUAGGCGGCUUUGUAAGUUAGAGGUGAAAGCCCGGGGCUCAACCCCGGAACUGCCUUUAAGACUGCAUCGCUUGAAUCCAGGAGAGGUGAGUGGAAUUCCGAGUGUAGAGGUGAAAUUCGUAGAUAUUCGGAAGAACACCAGUGGCGAAGGCGGCUCCCUGGCCUGGUAUUGACGCUGAGGUGCGAAAGCGUGGGGAGCAAACAGG
rnacentral:rRNA from 1 species